rnacentral:rRNA from 1 species
CAGUAGCCACGGGAAUACGGAGGGGGCUAGCGUUGUUCGGAAUUACUGGGCGUAAAGCGCACGUAGGCGGCUUGGUAAGUUAGAGGUGAAAGCCCGGAGCUCAACUCCGGAAUUGCCUUUAAGACUGCCGAGCUAGUAGGUGAGAGAGGUAAGUGGAAUUCCGAGUGUAGAGGUGAAAUUCGUAGAUAUUCGGAAGAACACCAGUGGCGAAGGCGGCUUACUGGCUCAUUCUAGACGCUGAGGUGCGAAAGCGUGGGGAGCAAACAGGAUUAGAUACCCCGGUAGUCCCUGUCUCUUAUAA